rnacentral:tRNA from 1 species
UCGUAGCUCAGUCGGUAGAGCAACACAUCGGUAAUGUGUAGGUCGCGGGUUCGAUUCCCGCCGUUA